GCUUUGUUGCAAGAACGUGGCUCAAGGGCAUCAAUUCAGGAGUCUCGUCAGUGGCAUAGCCAAACAUGUGACCCUGGUCACCAGCACCAAUUUCCUCAGGUCUUUUGGUGAGAUGGCCAUGUACACCCUGAGCAAUAUCAGGACUCUGCUGUUCAAUAUUGACAAGAACUUUGCAAUUGUCAGCAUCAAGACCAACAUCAUCCGAAACAAACCCAAUUUUUCUGCAGGUGUCACGAACAAUUUUCUCAUAGUCAACAUUAGCCUUGGUUGUGAUCUCUCCAAAUACCAUAACCAAGUUAGUUUUGGUGCAAGUUUCACAUGCAACCU
rnacentral:lncRNA from 1 species